ACAGGGAUCCCGGGCCCUGCCUCAGUAUUUACACUCGCUGCGGGAACCGGCAUUUCCCCAUUCCUGGGAAGGACGGAAGUCAAGCCUCUGGAGGCUUGUCCGCCGGCCCCGCGAAGCCUGCUUCAGUGGCCUCGGAGCCUUCCCAGAGGGCUGGGCAGGGGAGGAGAAGCGGCUUCAGCCCUUGUCGUGGCAGCUCUCCGCUGCUACUGGGGUUCCAGUAGCAGAUCUUGCGUUCCAAGCUGCCUUUAUCUAACCCCCAGACAGGAAGGGUAGUCCAGUCUGAGGGGUUCUGCUAUGGAGCGGACAAGUCCCUGCUGCCAGGAGAGAGGCAACCAGAUUCCCGUGACAGCGGUAGCUCCUCCCUACUACGGUGUCACACUGUGGGAGCCCCACCCACCAGGCUAUUUCGGAGUCCUGGAGGGCUCUGUUGAGGUUCUGGAAAACAACUAGGUAUCUCAACUCCUGUCUGUGCGAUGUUAGGACUUCACGACUGUUCGGCAUUCCUAUAGCGUUAUCUCCUGCAGAAGAUGCCAGUGACUCCUUGGGAGGCUGGCGGCUGCACUGGAGCCGAAGGGAAUCUGGAAAGGCCUGGACUUGGCUUCACGUUAGGUUCUGACGAACCAGCUUUAGCUGCUGGCGUGUGGAGGGCUGGUGACAGAGACUGCUGCAGUCAGCUCGUGACCACAGGGGGACAACCCAGAAGACAAAGGCCUGCACACGGAGACUCCAGAACAGAAAGAGCCCGGUGAUGUCCCCGAGCCCCUGAUCUUGUUGGUCCUAGGAUCGUCCACCUUGGGAUUAUGAUUUCAUAGAUGAUAAAUACAGUUUUACAGUUUGAGUAAA